rnacentral:rRNA from 1 species
AAGAACGCUGGCGGAAGGCUUAACACAUGCAAGUCGAGCGCACUCUUCGGAGUGAGCGGCAGACGGGUGAGUAACGCGUGGGAACGUGCCCUUUGGUUCGGAAUAGCCCUUGGAAACGAGGAGUAAUGCCGAAUGUGCCCUUCGGGGGAAAGAUUUAUCGCCAAAGGAUCGGCCCGCGUUAGAUUAGCUAGUUGGUGAGGUAAUGGCUCACCAAGGCGACGAUCUAUAGCUGGUCUGAGAGGAUGAUCAGCCACACUGGGACUGAGACACGGCCCAGACUCCUACGGGAGGCAGCAGUGGGGAAUCUUGGACAAUGGGCGCAAGCCUGAUCCAGCCAUUCCGCGUGGAUGAUGAAGGCCCUAGGGUUGUAAAAUCCUUUCGGCAGGGAAGAUAAUGACGGUACCUGCUAAAGAAGCCCCGGCUAACUCCGUGCCAGCAGCCGCGGUAAUACGGAGGGGGCUAGCGUUGUUCGGAAUUACUGGGCGUAAAGCGCGCGUAGGCGGAUCGAUCAGUCAGAGGUGAAAUCCCGGAGCUCAACUUCGGAACUGCCUUUGAUACUGUCGAUCUGGAGUCCGGGAGAGGUGCAUGGAAUUCCGAGUGUAGCG